rnacentral:rRNA from 1 species
UGCAAGUCGAGCGAGCGGAACCAACAGAUUUACUUCGGUAAUGACGUUGGGAAAGCGAGCGGCGGAUGGGUGAGUAACACGUGGGGAACCUGCCCCUAAGUCUGGGAUACCAUUUGGAAACAGGUGCUAAUACCGGAUAAUAAAGCAGAUCGCAUGAUCAGCUUUUGAAAGGCGGCGUAAGCUGUCGCUAAGGGAUGGCCCCGCGGUGCAUUAGCUAGUUGGUAAGGUAACGGCUUACCAAGGCGACGAUGCAUAGCCGAGUUGAGAGACUGAUCGGCCACAUUGGGACUGAGACACGGCCCAAACUCCUACGGGAGGCAGCAGUAGGGAAUCUUCCGCAAUGGACGAAAGUCUGACGGAGCAACGCCGCGUGAGUGAAGAAGGCCUUCGGGUCGUAAAACUCUGUUGCCGGGGAAGAACAAGUGCCGUUCGAAUAGGGCGGCGCCUUGACGGUACCCGGCCAGAAAGCCACGGCUAACUAC